rnacentral:rRNA from 1 species
UACCGAUAGGUGGUUUUACAAGUCAGAAGUGAAAUCUCUCAGCUUAACUGGGAGAAUGUCUUUUGAAACUGUAAAACUAGAGGGGCAAAGAGGAAGCCGGAACAAGCGGUGUAGUAGUGAAAUGCGUUGAUAUCGCUUGGAACACCGAUAGCGUAGGCAGGCUUCUGGGUGCCACCUGACACUGCUAGGACGAAAGCGUGGGGAGCGAAUG